ensembl:lncRNA
AUCAAGGGAAGCCUUCCUCCUGUCUCAGGCACCCACAUGACUUCUUUGGAGCAAGACCACUGCUGCUUGUGUGUACAUCCAGUGUUCUGGAAAUAGCUAACUACCAGCUUAACUUCAACUCCUCUGUCCAUGGGAUUUUCCAGGCGAGAAUACAGAAGUGGGUUGCCAUUCCCUUCUCCAGGGGAUCUUCCAGACCCGGGGAUCGAACCCAGGUCUCCUGCAUUACAGACAGAUUCUUCACCAUCUGAGCCGCUAGGGAUACCCAACUACCAGCUUUACUCAGGGAGGCUCUGGUUGGAACCCCGUCAUUGGCUCAGAUCCUGGGCAUCCACCUGGAUGGCCACAGCGAGUGUCAGAGGACAAGACUUCCAGACCCAGGCCGUGACGCU